rnacentral:misc_RNA from 1 species
GAAAAAUAAAAGAAAUAUCCAAUUCACUGGAAAGAUCGGUCAAAAGUCUGGUGGAAUUACAAAAAGAGGCUUCCCAAUAUCCCUGUAAUCAGAAAAAAGAGGAACUACUAGGUGCGACAGUCCUAGAGCUCCUCCCAACAAUCGUGUGAAUCCCAUAAACAUAUGUGGGGGGGAGCAAGAGAGUAUCCUAAAUAAUAUAUUUCAUAGGCAAAAAAGCUUCUCAAGAUUCCAGUUUUUUAAGCAGUAACCUCCACCCUGUCAAAACCCCUAUAAUUCCUUCCGAGAAGUAAUCAUAACUUUUCUCACCAUGUUGAGGCAUCAACAAAUAAGCCAAAAGAGGACACCAAGAUCCCAAUUUUUGGAAGCUAAGCAGCUUCUUGGCAUAAGCACUAAUUACAU